ACAAAGAUGAGGAAGAAGAAGAGUACGUUUACCCGGCUGACAGAGAGGGUCCCGGAUCGCUGAAAGGAGACCUGAGCAAAGGAGAACGGAAUGUGGCUUUGGAAUCGGAGAGCUGAAUGCGCAGCUGCGUGGUAAGCCUUCACGGUAGUCCCCGUUAUCGGACAGCGGUUCUAGAGGAAUGACCGCGACAAGAUUCCGAAACAGCUGGCGGCGCAGUCUCUGCAGCAGAUCAGUUUUUCCGGAAAACAAAGGUGGUACCGCGUUUGGAUUCAGACGCCCUUUGA
rnacentral:ncRNA from 1 species